GACGAAGGGGGCUAGCGUUGUUCGGAAUUACUGGGCGUAAAGCGCGUGUAGGCGGUUGUCCAAGUCGGGUGUGAAAGCCUUGAGCUCAACUCAAGAAAUGCACUCGAUACUGGGCGACUCGAGUGCCGGAGAGGAUAGUGGAAUUCCCAGUGUAGUGGUGAAAUUCGUAGAUAUUCGCAAGAACACCAGUGGCGAAGGCGGCUCACUGGCCCGAUACUGACGCUGAGGCACGAAAGCGUGGGGAGCAAACAGG
rnacentral:rRNA from 1 species